GGGACGCCGGCUCUGCGCGCAGAUCUCCUGGGAACCCUCCUUCACCUGCUGCUGCUUCUGCUGCAAAUGACUAGACAUCCAUCUACCUUGUCCCUUCAUAUGUGGAAAUCUUUUCUUCACUGUGCUUAAGGAUGGACCUCGCUGGAGAGUGAGAAUGGGUCUUUGGUGGAUUGUGUUUGUACACUGCCAAUUUGCCAAGUUUCUGACAGAAGGAUGAAAGCAAUGCUAAGAAAUCCCAGAUGAAGACCUUUCUAGAUCUGUAACUGGGAUUAACCAAUUCUUGACUUUACAAAGAUGUUUCAGUUCUGAGGAUAAAGUCAGAACACCUUUGACUAUCCCUGAAGUACUGAAGGUAUAAAGAAGCUUCUGGAUCCCCUAGGUCAAGCAGAGAAACUUUAUUAGAAUGUUGAAUGGGGCCAGGACUACUCUCCAGGCCUUUCCCCUGCAAUCGCGGACCGCAGGCCCCUCCCCCUGCCUCAGCUAGCUCUGUUGGGCCGGCCUUCGCACUCCGCUUCCGUCUGGAUCCUGAGUUUGUCCAGGUCUCCUGGACAGGCUUCUCCCUCUGCCUAAAUCUUGCCCAGCGCCCGUCUCCCAUUUGGCUGCCUGACUUCUACCCUCCUUUAAUUUACAUUUGCUUGCCCAGACAGAACCCUCGGGGGCUCCCAAACGAAUGUCACCCUCACCCAUGCAAAGGCCUGGGCUUUUUCACCCAGACGCUUUUCUUUACUGUUCUCCACUCCCUCAUAGCGGGAGUGGGAGGGCGAAGCGCUAGCUUAGGCCAGAAUCAAAGAGCCAUUUCUUCCCCUUGGGCAAAGGAGGUGCACCUCCCAGAGACAAACGCCGGGAGCGCGACGGGCACUUCCUUCCCUCCCGGCGGCCUCCCAGCCCUGCC